rnacentral:ribozyme from 1 species
CGGCAUCAUGACUAAGCCUUUACGUGGCGAUGCUAUAAGUAAGAGCUAAACAAGCUGAAACUAAUUAGUC